AGAGUUUGAUCCUGGCUCAGAUUGAACGCUGGCGGCAUGCUUUACACAUGCAAGUCGAACGGCAGCACGGGUGCUUGCACCUGGUGGCGAGUGGCGAACGGGUGAGUAAUGCACCGGAACGUACCCAGUAAUGGGGGAUAACACAUCGAAAGAUGUGCUAAUACCGCAUACGCCCUGAGGGGGAAAGCGGGGGAUCGUAAGACCUCGCGUUAUUGGAGCGGCCGAUGCCGGAUUAGCUAGUUGGUGAGGUAAGAGCUCACCAAGGCGACGAUCCGUAGCUGGUCUGAGAGGACGACCAGCCACUUAGAGACUGAGACACGGCCCAGACUCCUACGGGAGGCAGCAGUGGGGAAUUUUGGACAAUGGGCGCAAGC
rnacentral:rRNA from 1 species